UAGGGAAUCUUCGGCAAUGGACGAAAGUCUGACCGAGCAACGCCGCGUGAGUGAAGAAGGUUUUCGGAUCGUAAAACUCUGUUGUUAGAGAAGAAAAAGGACGUUAGUAACUGAACGUCCCCUAACGGUAUCUAACAAGAAAGCCACGGCUAACUACGUGCCAGCAGCCGCGGUAAUACGUAGGUGGCAAGCGUUGUCCGGAUUUAUUGGGCGUAAAGCGAGCGCAGGCGGUUUCUUAAGUCUGAUGUGAAAGCCCCCGGCUCAACCGGGGAGGGUCAUUGGAAACUGGGAGACUUGAGUGCAGAAGAGGAGAGUGGAAUUCCAUGUGUAGCGGUGAAAUGCGUAGAUAUAUGGAGGAACACCAGUGGCGAAGGCGGCUCUCUGGUCUGUAACUGACGCUGAGGCUCGAAAGCGUGGGGAGCAAACAGG
rnacentral:rRNA from 1 species